rnacentral:rRNA from 1 species
AGCAGUCGCCGCGGUAAAACGUAGGUGGCAAGCGUUGUCCGGAAUUAUUGGGCGUAAAGGGCUCGCAGGCGGUUUCUUAAGUCUGAUGUGAAAGCCCCCGGCUCAACCGGGGAGGGUCAUUGGAAACUGGGAAACUUGAGUGCAGAAGAGGAGAGUGGAAUUCCACGUGUAGCGGUGAAAUGCGUAGAGAUGUGGAGGAACACCAGUGGCGAAGGCGACUCUCUGGUCUGUAACUGACGCUGAGGAGCGAAAGCGUGGGGAGCGAACAGGAUUAGAUACCCCCGUAGUCCCUGUCUCUUAUAC